UGUAUUCAGUGAAUUAUAACAGCAAGUGGUAAUCAUAAAAGGUGAUAAUUCACUGUAAUCGUUUAAUUAAUAAUACAUGUGGAAUUCUGAUCGACUCUGGAAUCGAUCCUGGAACCUGUAACAAGGUAAGUUAUAGGUUCCAGGAUAUGAAUGAAGAACCUGUUCCAACGGGUGAGUUCUAAAUUUUAAGUUAAACCUGUACGAAACCUCAAAUUACUCACCUUAGGAGGAAGUCUCUCACACGAUUGAAACGUGUUGAAAGUUAUGCAGUUUCUAGCUGAUGCCUUGGCCCUUGUUCUUGAGAACCUAUCGGUUCAUCAUCUCCGUCCUUGUUGCAAAAGUACCUGUCAAUGACCCGAGGAACUCCCCAUCAUCGAAAAGACUCCAUGGUUUCAAGGGAACUCCAUCACUACAGAACAAGCUGCUUCCAUUAAUAAAGCUUGUGAAUUGAGCUUUUCCCUUCUGUUACUGGAUCGCACGGCCCUUCCGCUGGGGAAAGCAAGCAUCAUUCGAAUUUCUACUCAACCAGCUUUCGAUCGUGACCUGCUAUUGAUCGUGGCUGAAGUCACGGUCGAGUACAGUGAUCAUGCCCGAGCUCAAGGUCGAGUUCACGGGUCGCGGCCGAGGUCGUGGCUGAGCAAGACCGAGACUCGAGUUCAUGACAAUUGGCUCUGCUCUCCACACACCAGAAGGGAUCGACGAUGAACGGUGUAGACCGGGACUGGUUCGAGCCUCCCUCUGAAAAGAAGUUCCAUCUUUCUCUAUUCUAAAUGCUUUUCGAGGUUCACAUGGGGUCGGCCGCAUACGUUAAAGUCGUCUCCAACUUAAGAAAAUGAAAACCUGAGAAGUCACCAGGCAACCUUGUCAUGAAGAGUAAUUUUAUCUUAUCUUUUGAAUCACGACGGAUCGUGGCAAUGGAAACACAUCAUUAAUGACAUCGUUAAUACAUUCCCAAAGUGAUUCAUCAACGAGCGAUUAUAAGUUAUGGUAAAUGACGAUUUUUGAAAGUGUCAGAGUUGCAAAAAAUGAUGCCGGUUCGUGGAUCCGAGCCUUCAUCAGCAAUAUCCGGCUGACCCCUUGUCGGCAUCGUUUACAGUCGAGUUCGAGCCUCCAACUUUCGUUCUUAAUCAAUGGAGACACCCUUUUCAUAAAAUGCUUUUGUA